UGAAUCGAUGUCGAAAGUCGACAGCUCCUCCUUGGCCAGUGCGUGCGUGCGAUCGACGCCUGCUCCUCUAACUUCAACAGAUCCUCCUUGAUCAGUGUGUGCGUGCAAUACUGCCGCUCGGACUUGCGGCGUUGCGGACUCAUCGACGCCCUGGAUUUGAGCACCGUAAGCACGAAUUCCCUUGUUUUGGUGCAGGUCCUCAGUCGGAAAAUACAAGGGUCUCUCCAUGCAUGCUGUUAGACUUUCCCAAUCUGAGUUUAGCCAAUAAUAUCCAGCACGUGUUGUUUCUUACAAUUUCAACUCUUCAAUACCCAAUUUGCAUCGUGUCGAAUCUGACAGAAACAGAGGGUGUGGCGUGGACGAUAAUGAUACAGGUUAUGAGUGGAAUCGAUCGAACGAGUCCCAAAACGUCAAC
rnacentral:lncRNA from 1 species